rnacentral:tRNA from 1 species
UGUCAAGGGAUGGGAAUCGAACCCACGACCUUCCGCUUACCGGGCAGGUGCCAUGACCACUAGGCUACCCUGGAC